AGAUGACAGGCCCUACUUAAAGGGGCUGUCCAGCAAAAAAUAUUCUAGAGUUUUCAAACCAACACCCGGAUAUGAAUACUUUUGUAAUUACAUGUAAUUUAAGUUUUAGCAUAUCCACUGAGUUAUUCAAUAAAAUGUAUCUGUAUAGCGCCACCUGCUGUUUGUUUUUUCCUUUUUUC